rnacentral:rRNA from 1 species
AUUCCAGCUCCAAUAGCGUAUAUUAAAGUUGUUGCAGUUAAAAAGCUCGUAGUUGGAUUUGUGGCGUCGCCUGCCGUCCAGUCUUUGUACUGGUUCUGGUAGUGCGGCUCCAUCCUUGGGUGGAACCUAUGUGGCAUUAGGUUGUCGUGUAGGGGAUGCCCAUCGUUUACUGUGAAAAAAUUAGAGUGUUCAAAGCAGGCUUAUGCCGUUGAAUAUAUUAGCAUGGAAUAAUAAGAUAGGACCUUGGUACUAUUUUGUUGGUUUGCGCACCAAGGUAAUGAUUAAUAGGGACAGUUGGGGGUAUUCGUAUUCCAUUGUCAGAGGUGAAAUUCUUGGAUUUCUGGAAGACGAACUACUGCGAAAGCAUUUACCAAGGAUGUUUUC